rnacentral:lncRNA from 1 species
CUUGAAUACAUGUUGAUGGAUACUGUGGAUAAGAACUAUGUCUCAAAGCCAGCUCAGGGCAAUUCACAUUUUCAAAAAAUGAAAUGAAGUAUUUUCAUUGCUUUUUUUCUUUCUCUCUAGCUUUGCAUCUUGAUUGAAGCAAAGACAUCUGUCUUUUCCCAGAUAGCAAGAACUUUGGUUGCUGUGGCAACAUAUUGACUGGGGAAUUUAAAAAUAAAGGUGGCUCAUUUCCAAAUCAUUUUUCCCCCUUCACGAAAAAGCCACACACUGGUAAUAAAUGUGGGAGGUAUGCAGAAAUCAGAAAAUAUUCUACUCAUCAAGAAUGUGGCAAGUUAUAACUACAAAAUGAAAAUAGAAACAGAAUAGAAAUAUCAAGAUAAGGGACAACUAAGAGACUAAGGAAAUAUGACAGGGAUAAACUCCCCUUCACUGUACAGGCUGCAUAGUCCACUCAUAUGGAGGCUACUUGUGAAGCCAGAUAACACACACAGAAAUGCUGAAUUUCUUGGAGUCUGGCAGCAAACAAGGAGUUUGCCAGUUCUGAGGUCCUAAUCCAUGGGGAGAAAGGAGACAGUCAGCAGCACCUCAGAGAGUACUUCUCAGGGUUCUGUUCAGCCCACAUGGAAAUGCAGUCUGAAAGCUUGGAGGGACAAUUUUCUGCAAUAUUCUAUGUGGAUCUCAGCUGACAAGAUGUAAAAAGCUCAACCUGGUAUUGACUCUUCUCCUGAAUCUAUCUUACUAUCCCUGUUUCUUCACUUAUUCUCCCUUAGUUUGCUUCCAUAUAAACUACCUGCUUGUUUUAAGCUCCAUUUUUUCAUGAAUGCAAAGGAAUAUGAAAACUUUUUAAAACUUAUAAUAUUAAUUAUUUAU